rnacentral:rRNA from 1 species
UACGUAGGGUGCAAGCGUUGUCCGGAAUUAUUGGGCGUAAAGAGCUCGUAGGCGGUCUGUCGCGUCGGCUGUGAAAACUCGGGGCUCAACUCCGAGCCUGCAGUCGAUACGGGCAGACUAGAGUGCUGUAGGGGAGACUGGAAUUCCUGGUGUAGCGGUGAAAUGCGCAGAUAUCAGGAGGAACACCGGUGGCGAAGGCGGGUCUCUGGGCAGUACUGACGCUGAGGA